AGGAAUCUAACAGGCUCGCUCGGUCGAGUUCACUCAGUUGAGCGUCGGUUGCGCUCCUCGAUUUUGGGGCGUGACAAACUGUUUGAUUGUGAGCUUGAUUUGCUGAUCUCUGUCUCGAUACAGUUGAAGCUGAGCUCCAAUUUGUAGAUUUCGCUUUUCUUUGGCUGCUGUCCGAGUUUGUUUUGUUCCAGCUUCUAAACUAGCCGAGUUCCAAAUUUCGAUUUUGGGCCUUUAUUUGGCAAGUUCUGCUUCUAGACUAAGCUCAUGUUUAGGUAUGUAGCUAAAAUUCAAGUUCAAAUCUCCAUAUCUGUUCUAAUGUGAAAUCCUGAUUGUUUUUGUUUUUAGAUUCUUCUUUAAUUUUGUUUGAAUUCAUUGGUUCUAUGUUAAUGCUGGCAUGACAUAAAUGCAGUGUGUUUUGAUAUGAAAUCAUGAUUGUUUUCCUUUUGAAUCUUUUGUUGUGUUAUGGCUUAUGGGUUUUUGAUUUAGUUUAGCAUAAGUGUGGAGUGUUGGGAAUUUGAUAAGCAUGAUUGAGCUUGAUUUUUAUGAAAUACAGUUAAUCUAGUUUGAUUUGCUUCUAAUACUUUAUUUGGCAUCUCACAUGUUUGAGGAGGAAAAAAUGUAAAGUGAACAGGUCCAAGGAUUAUGAACUGUGGACGAAAGCUGAAAAGCAGCGUUUUUUUUUCCCAGAAGAAUCGAAACUUAUAGCUAUUAGUCAAGUGUAAACUAGGAACUGAUUCUUGUGUUUAAAUUCGAGUUAUGAUCUAGAUGAUGUAUCUUGUUUGUAAGUUCUGAGAUUUAAUUUACUUUUAAAUGUCGAAUGCCAGCACUGAAUUAACAUUCCUCUCAUAACUAAAUUUCUGGUAGUAUGGACUUUUGAAUAUGCAUGUUAAUUCAUCAAA